rnacentral:rRNA from 1 species
UGCUGUUAAAAAGUUCGUAGUUGGAUCAAGAGUUCGACAGUGCACGGUGGCCCUGUUUGUCAUGGUGGUUCCGAUCACCGUGGCGGCAGCGGAUCAACCCCGGGCGCCAAACUGUCGACUCUAACAGACCGAAACGGUUCCCUGUGAGUAGGCUCCUUCAUUGGGGCUGAAAGCGCUUACGCAUCAACCAUAUGCAUACGGGACGUCGGUCAAAGUUACUGUGAACGAACCAGCGUGUCCAAAACAGGCUUUCGCCUGAAUGUUCGAGCAUGGAAUGACAAGGGAUCGAUUCUCUCGGUUCUUUUUGUUGGUUUUUAACCCGAGAAGGAGUAAUUCAGGCCACGGUGUCUGAGUUGGGUUUCCCUUCACCUCGGUGGAGGCCCCAAUUAGGCCGUGUCCUUAUGGGAUAAAUAGGGACUGACGGGGUCGUACGUACUUCCACCGUCAGAGGUGAAAUUCUUAGAUCGUGGGAAGACGAACUUCUGCGAAAGCAUUCGACAAGAAUGUCUUCAUUAAUCAAGAACGAGAGUGUGGGGAUCGAAGAUGAUCAGAUACCGUCGUAGUCCACUACUGUA